UUAACUCAAAUUUGUAUGCAGUUGGAACGUUUGCCUACGUUUGCCGCUAGGGGUACUGUUCCGACUGCAUAUAAAUUUGAGUUA
rfam:Bombyx mori DNA, contig: Bm_scaf14_contig10812, strain: p50T/Dazao, build 2, whole genome shotgun sequence.